UCACCUAGUGCUGACUGUAGGAUGAUGCUUAUAAACCGCCCGUAGAGCAUCUUCCAGAGCUCUUUGACUUCUUCAAAAUUAGUAUCCAUUUGCCAAUCCAGUCGAUGAGUAGGGCUCUAUAGUUGAGUUGAAUCCCACAACUGAUUGCUGUCAUGAUCUUAAGUUGCACUUCGUUCACAAAGUCAUGGCCAGAUCUCUUGCAUCAUAUGCAUUUUUCAACAAUGUCAGCCAAAACUCAUACCUUUGCGGAAACUCUUUCUUUUUGUACCCCUUGACAGUCGGGAAUUUCUUAUGAUACAUCUUCUUCAGUCCUUCAUGAAAAU
rnacentral:lncRNA from 1 species